rnacentral:misc_RNA from 1 species
UUAACUAUUAUAUAGUACUCAGACGACAUGUAUAAACAGAGUUUAGGGUCCUCUGGCGAGCACUCACCAGCGUGAGCCGGUGGCCGAGGCGGCUCGCCAAAGCAACAAAGGUAUAAUUAACAUAGGGUUGGAGAGUCACCCUUGCGGGCGAGUUUCUCUGUAAUGAUCCCUCCGCAGGUUCACCUACGGAGA